AUUGAACGCUGGCGGCAUGCCUUACACAUGCAAGUCGAACGGCAGCAUGGGUGCUUGCACCUGAUGGCGAGUGGCGAACGGGUGAGUAAUGCAUCGGAACGUGCCCUGAAGUGGGGGAUAACGUAGCGAAAGUUACGCUAAUACCGCAUAUUCUGUGAGCAGGAAAGAGGGGGAUCGCAAGACCUCUUGCUUUAGGAGCGGCCGAUGUCGGAUUAGCUAGUUGGUGAGGUAAAGGCUCACCAAGGCGACGAUCCGUAGCGGGUCUGAGAGGAUGAUCCGCCACACUGGGACUGUGACACGGCCCAGACUCCUACGGGGGGCAGCAGUGGGGAAUUUUGGCCAAUGGGCGCAAGCCUGAUCCAGCCAUGCCGCGUGAGUGAAGAAGGCCUUCGGGUUGUAAAGCUCUUUCGGUUGGGAAGAAAUUGCUUGGGUUAAUACCCUAAGUAGAUGACGGUACCAGCAUAAGAAGCACCGGCUAACUACGUGCCAGCCGCCGCGGUAA
rnacentral:rRNA from 1 species